CCUAUGGACAUGUGUAAGGUCAUUUUCUUGACUGCUAAUCGGCAUAGGAAAACACAGAUUACUGUGAGUUGUGCCAACCCUGGUCAGGUGGACCUGGACUGGAUUAGAAAGGUAGCUGAACAUGAGCCUGGGAGCAAGUGUUCCUCCAUGGAUCUACUUCAGUUCCUGCGUCUUGUUCCUGCCUUGACUACCCUUGAUGACCUGAAAGUACAAGAUGAGGCAACCACACAGUAAGGAGCUAUUCCAAGUGGCUCCAAAGCUCAGUGAGCAGGCUGCAGGUCCUCAUUCUAUACACCAAGAAGAAAAGGAAACAAGGAAAGGAGGAAAAAAUGAAAAACUGAUAAAGGUGAUGUACUGGAUUCCAGAUGCAGGAAGAAGGGUAAAAUGAAGAUGCUCUGAUUUCAGAUUUUCCCAUAAUAGAUGAGAAACAUAACCAAAAGUGUUUUGAUAUGUGUAGUUUGUCCAAGAGUUGGUCAGAGUUCCAGGAGCAGCAGGGAACUGGGAAUGGAGAGAGAAAUUUCAUUCUGGAGAGGAUUUGAUGGAGCUUUGAUAUAUGAUGAGAACAGCCAUUGGCAGAGCUCUGUUCUGCAACAGAAACUCUACUCCUCUUUAUAAUUGUAACCAACAGAUUAUUUGUAACAACUUUUUAAAAAAAUAAUAUAAAAUAAAUAAAGUUCAAUUGGAGAAAACCUUCCUGUUUUGUCACUAGCCAUCUUGAAAGAACACUUAGGUUAUUACGUUGAACCGUUUCGUCCAUGCUGGCCUGUCUUUCCUUCAGUGCGUCCGGUGCCACAGGGACCACACUCAAAUUCGGUGGGAGGGAGAACUGUCUCUGCUUUCAACACUGCAGACAGCAAAUGGUCCUUAGGAAAAGAUGCUCCUGAGAGCCAGUGAGACAAGCUGAGUUGAAGAGCUAUCAUGGAACCUUAGUGAGCUGGCCAGGGCUGAGCAGGCAGUGGGUUUAGAAGGUUUCAUUUCUUCGUGUCAGGGUGGGCUUGGCAGAGAAGACAAUCAUGGCAGCAGGAGUGUGUGGUAGACUGUUCACAUCCCGGCAGGAUAAGGAUUCAGCAGACAUUAAUGUGCUGGUAGAAAAAUAAAGGAGGGGUCAAAACCAAGAGAAAUUCUGUUUAUUGUUGAAGAUGGUCAUCAGGAGGAGUGGAUGGGCGCACCCAUAAACAAACUCAUCGUCAGGGUGGGACAGCGAUAACUGUUGGAACUGGGACUUCCAAUAACAACAAAGCCCGGAUUCUAUGCCAACCACCAUGGGGCCUUGGGAAGAUCGUAGAGGGACUAGAAAGAUUGGAAGAGCCAGAAGACAGGAAGGAGCACUGUGGGGGCUGUCUUCUGGGUAGCACACGGAAUGCCGCCAGGACAAAUGAUGAAUAUGAGAUACCCUGAGCAUCUUGAGACUCACCAGAGCAAAACAACUCUGAGAGUCAAGAAGCUACACAUCUGGCUGUUGACUCUAGCGUGUGAUGGCAGGGAUAUUAUUCUGAAUGAAACAAGGAGGGACAGAAUACUGGGCUCUGUGCAAGCUUUACUCCUGUCAUUGCUUUUUCCUAUUGCAUUUAAAAUUUGGGGGCCUAAAAGUCAACCCUUGGUUUUG
rnacentral:lncRNA from 1 species